AGAGAGAAAUGGAGAGCGAGCGAGGUGGCGCCGUUUCCUGGAAUCCAGUCGUGGUCUGGUGCAUGAAGUGUGAGCAGCAAGAUCCUAGAUACUCACCUUACACCUUGGUGCGGAUAACAGAGGCAGAGAUGAGGGCCUAUCACCGUUUAGUAGGAAGUUGCAUCAGGCUGGAAUAUAUGGCAAAAAAAGAUGAAAUUAUGCAGCAGGAAGUCAGGCCCCUGAUGGCGGUGGAGAUAAUAGAACAACUUCACAGACAAUUUGCCAUUCUUUCAGGAGGCCGAGGGGAGGAUGGCGCCCCCAUCAUCACGUUCCCAGAGUUUUCGGGGUUCAAACACAUCCCAGAUGAAGACUUCCUGAAUGUCAUGACCUACCUGACUAGCAUCCCCAGGUGAGCCGAGCACAGUGUCCUGCCGCCUUAGGCACUGGCUUUAUUCCACACUUCCCAUGUGGCAGGGCUGGGUUGAGACAUAUACUUCCAUGAGCAUGGUUUACCCUGGUAUGCAUAAUAACCCAGCUGGCUUCUGUCACCCAUCAGUCACGAGCAAGGAAUGUGGAAAGGGACUGGAAAACAAUGGCAAACAAGCCUCAGUUUUGACUCUCUUGUGCACACAGGAGGGACAGAAUAAACAUGGUCGGGUGGAUAGAAAACUGAGCAGCUGUGUUGCCUUUGUUCCUUAGGCCAUUGCUUUAUUUUCAUUUUUUAUUUUUGAGAUGGAGUCUUGCUCUGUUGCCCAGGCUGGAGUGCAGUGGCACGAUCUUGGCUCACUGCAACCUCCGCCUCCUGGGUUCAAGCAAUUUCCAGCUGAUUUUUGUAUUUUUUUUUUUCAGCAGAGAGGGGUUUCACUAUGUUGGCCAGGCUGGUCUCGAACUCGUAACCUCAAGUAAUCUGCCUGCCUCGGCCUCCCAAAGUGCUAGGAUUACAGGCUUGAGCCACCGUGCCCGGCCUAGGCUGUUGCUUUAGCUAAAGGUUAUUCUGGCUUCCUGGGUCGCGUUGUCUAGGACACAUGACCCUUGUUUAAGGAACUCCAACUGUGUCAGGAGUUAUUUAUCUCUCCUAAAUAAGAAAAUUAGGGGCAGAUUGUUGUCAUUGUCAUUGUCAGAUGGAGAAACUAAGGCACAGAGCAAGGAAACUACAAGGCCAGGGAAAAAAACUGUGCUUGUAGCUGAGCCCAUGAUAGAAAUGCUUUCUGGCAUCUUCUUCCACCCUCUCCAGCCUGGGCCUCAACUCUUUAUGCCGCUUAAAUCGGUAUGGGCCCAGGUCUUCGAGGGGAUGGAAUGUGGGCAGAGUCCACAUGGGUCACCACCAUUUCACAGACGGGGGCAGAGUGGGGUCUAAACCCCCUCCUUAGGCAGUGCUGUGUCCACCUCCAGCAGAGAAGACUUGGUUGGGAAAGGCCUUCCCUCCAUGGGUUUGCAUUGCUUAUGAGCCCCCACCCCUGCCUUGACUAUAGUGUGGUUUAGAAUGUACACAGUGGCCAGGUGUGUGGUAUUUUGCCUGCUUUCCAUCUGCCUUCUGUGAUUUAGAGGUAAACAGCAGCUUUGUGACUGAGAGGCUGCCUGGAGUCUGAUACCACUUGUGGAGAUGAGGAAGUUGAUUGCUUUAACCAAACCCACUUGAAAAAUAUGUUUUUUCUUUUACACCUUUUUCUUUAGUUUUUUCUUUUACACCUUUUUCUUUAGUUUUUUCUUUUGCCCAUCUUAUUUCUUCAGAGAAGGUUAUGGAUUUAUUUUGAAUGCAUUUCUUUAAAGUUAGUACUUAAAUAUAUUUCAUCAAUUUCCUCCUUUCCUCCUCCCUGCCACUGCCAUAUGCCACGCGUUAAUGCAGAUAUAAGGAUGUAGGGAAUCCUUUGUUGCUGUGAGGGAAAGACACCACACCUGUCUCACGGCUUUGCUCAGGUGUUUCUCUGUGGCACACCUCUGCCCGUCUUCUAGGCCUGACUCAUGCACAUUCAUCAACCCUCAACUCUGACCUCAUCUCUUCGAUGAAACCUUCCUUCACCCCAGUUCUGCUUUCACAGAGUCUUUUUUUUAAUUUCCACAGAACCCCGAGGUUUACCUUUGCCUAUGGAAAUUAUUUGUCUAUGGAAAUUAUUUCUGCCUCUCCCAGUAGACUGUGAACUUCUUAAGAGUAGGGGCCAAUGCUUUGCUUUUCUUCUCUUUUGUUUUUAAAAUCUCCAGCCCUAGCACAGUGCCCAACACCUGGUUGGUUCUCAAAAGUAAUGUUGGUAGAGUUUUCAGUUUUGAUAAUGAGUCAUUCCAAACGGUAUUUGUUGUAGGGUGAUGAAGGGGUUAAAAUAUGCUAUUCUAUACUAUGCGCCAUAAAAAAGAAUGAGUUCAUGUCCUUUGCAGGGACAUGGAUGAAGCUGGGAGCCAUCAUCCUCAGCAAACUAACACAGGAACAGAAAACCAAACACCACAUGUUCUCACUCAUAAGCAGGAGUUGAACAAUGAGAACACAUGGACACAGGGAGGGGAACAUCACACACCGGGGCUUGUUGGAGGGUCGGGGACAAGGGGAAGGAGAGCAUUAGGACAAAUACCUAAUGCAUGCGGGGCUUAAAACCUGGAUGAUGGGUUGACAGGUGCAGCAAACCACUGUGGCACAUGUGUACCUAUGUAACAAACCUGCAUGUUCUGUACAUGUAUCCCAAAACUUAAAGUAAAAAUUUAAAAAUGCCAUUCUGGAAUAUUGACUAUUUAAGUUAAAAGCACUUGAAAAACAGCAGGUACAAGAAUAUCACUUUGACCUUUGUGCUGUUUCUUAAGAGGAGAAGAUGGAAUUCCUAUGUGAAAGACACUCUCUAGGGACUAGAAGGAAAGGUAACUUAGAGAAUAUUGCACAGACCUUGUUAGAAAUUCUAUUUUUUAAGCUUCGCCACAUAAUUUAGUUACAUUUUCAUAGUUUAUUAUUCUUUGUUCAAUCCAAUGUAGAAGUAACUGACUCUAACUGAUUCUUUGGGUCUUCAUUUCUUUAUGAGGGCUCUUGUGCCAUGUAAAACAUUUAUGAAUAAAUGUCUAUGCUUUUCUCAUGUAAAUCUGUGUUUUGUCGAUUUAACUCUUGGACCCAGCCAGGACCCUAAGACAAUAGAGGUGAAGUUUUUCCAUUCCUACAGUGAGAAGGGGGACCCUGACAGAGGGAGGGGAACCCCAGCUCUUCAUUCCUGCCUUUAUCAACCUGGGUUUUAAGAAGUUGAACUUGAACUCUGUCUUUGGCCCAGUGGCAUUUCAGGACAAUAUCCCAUCAGUUUAGCAACUUCUGUGGGAGCGGCAAGGAAGAGGGUGAAUAGGGAUGUAGACAAUAGGAGGAGUGUCCCCUGUCCCCAUUCUCCUUAUAUUUGUUUUAAAUUCAAUGUCUAGUUUUACUUAAUCCCCAGGGAUACAGUCAAAUGCUAAGUUAAAUGGAGGAUUUUCCUUUUGCAUUUGCAGCCUUUUCCAAAUCACGCUGAAGAUAGCUCAGCCCCCCGGACUGUGUGGCAAGAAGCAGGCAGGGUUAUUCACCCCAUCUCACAGAUGGAGAUGAGGAGAUCAAACAGGGGCUUCUGUUCUGGAUUUCUUUGUUCUACUGUAGGCUCCUGGUACAAUUUCUUGUGACCUAGGGAAUAUUUUCUUUUCCUAGAAUGCUGUUUGUCUUUCGGGAAAGAGUGGCUGUCUGGCCAGUUCUUCCUCUCGCCUUUCUUCUUCCGCUUUUGCUCACACUACUUGCUGCCCCUCCCCUGUUCCUUUCCACAAAAAGUGGAGACAAAGGGUGAGAAGGCCUGAAAGGGGAACUUGACUUGGACCUAUGUCUAAUUUCCAUGUCAGAUUUCAAAGAAUGAAACCACCCUUGUUCGUUUUAUGCCUCCUAUUUAUCACAAUUUGCAUCUUUUUGUACGUUACAUAGUUAUCCAGUACCAGAGUCCUUCCCAAUUGCAAAAUGUUUUAUAGACAGGUGGCAGAGGGCUCGUGGAUGGAUAAAAAAGAAUUGAUACACUAGAAUAGGAAAAUGGCAGGAUACUUGGGGUUGGGAAAUGCUAUCUUUGUGCCUGAAAUUAAUUAGGAUCUCGCAUUGUGAGUGGGUUGGGCAGGUACAGAGAGGCUUCCCACAGUAAUUCAUUCUUCAGCAGACUUCUAUGAGAGCCCACAGCAUGUAGGGUGCGGUGUACGAUGCUGUAAAGGACUGAAAAACCUCAAGACGAUGUCUCAGACCGCAGGAAACUCAUUACAUGACUCUGUUAUCAAUAUCUUUUGUGAAAUAUGUAAACAAAGUGCUAUAGGAGCUCAGAAAACAGAAAGUCACUUCGACAGGAAAAAAAAGGGAUAACUUCAGGAAAAAAGGGGGUUUCAAUCCAGACCUGUAAGAGAGGGUUCUUGGAUCUUACAUGGGAAAGAAGUCAAGGUGAGUCACAAAAUGCAGUGAAAGAAGCAAGCUUAUUAGAAACUAUGUUACAGAGUAGGGUGCCCUCAGAAAGCAAAAGGAGGAACGCAUUGACUUUAAGUUUUUCUUAUAUAGGGGUCUUGUCUAUAUAAAGAUUAAACUAAGCUGUGCCUAUGUGCGGAUGGGCAGACAGUGUGACAAAACUUAUUAUUCUAUUGAUUUAAAGAAAACUAUCCUUGACAUUUUAGUGUGUGAGAACAUCAAAGCAUAACUAUAAUUUUUUGAAAACAUAUAUUGUUAUGGUAUUGGGACAUCUGGACUUUCUGUUGUUGUAUCCUUAGGCUGUUUUCUCAACCAUAAACAUCUUAUGACCAUGGGUCCUGGUUGGCAAAGAGUGUGCCUUGUUACUCUCAAGAUGGAGCUGAACUUAAAAUUGUGUCACUUUCACUCUCCUAGGCUCAUGCCUCCCUAACAAAAUGUCCUUGAGGGGAUGGUACAGUUGCUACAGAUAGAUACAGAAGGGAGCAUUCCAGAGAGAGGAAAGGAUAGUGUUGAAGAGCUUUGAACACAGCCCAAACCUGGAUUGAAAUCCAGAUCCUAUUGCUCACUAGCUAGGUGGUCUGGGGCAAAUGACAUGGCUUCUAUUUUUUCUUUCUUUCUUUCUUUUUUUUUUUUUUUUUUUUUUUGAGACGGAGUUUCGCGCUUGUCGCCCAGACUGGAGUGCAGCAGGGCAAUCUCAGCUCACUGCAACCUCCGCCUCCCAGGUUGACGUGAUUCUCCUACCUCAACCUCCCGAGUAGCUGGGAUUACAGACACGCACCACCACGCCCAGCUAAUUUUUGUAUUUUUAGGAGAGAUGGAGUUUCACCACGUUGGCCAGGAUGGUCUCAAUCUCUUGACCUUGUGAUCCACCCGCCUCAGCCUCCCGAAGUGCUGGGAUUACAGGCGUAAGCCACUGUGCCCGGCCGACCUGGCUUCUAUUUCUACCUAACGCAGGGUCUGAAGUUUUCAACAGAGCAUAUUUGGGGAAUUACAGAGCAUCCCAGUUCACCAGAACAGAGUGAGGCUGCUUUUCAGAUGGUAUUGAGAAACGAGGGCUGGAAAAAGUUGGAAACAGAUUGGGCAAGGCCUUUACCCCCAAGUUAAGGAGUUGAGGCACAGUGAGCAGGAAGAGGCCAUUUUCCUGCAAGAGGGUUUGAGGAGCAGAGUGAGGAGCAGAUUGAUCUGGUGGUGGUGUGCAGGAUGGAUUGGAGAGAGCAGGAAAAGGAGUCAGGGAGACCAAUUAGGGGAUUCUACACUGAGACAGGUGCAAAAUGAAGAGGGAUGAUGGCAUGAGAACUGGAUAGGAAGGGAUGGACAAGAAGACAGGCCCUGGGGACUGGUGGAGGUCGGGAAGGAGAAAGAGGGAGAAGCUAUGGAAGACGCUUGGUUUUAGGAGCCUUACAAUUGUCUCGUAUUACUCUAAGUCUGGUGUGUGGAGUAUUCUGUGUGGAAUUCAGGCCUCAUUUUGGUUUUGAUGGUCUCGUCGUGAUUUAUUUUAAAACUUUUUCUUAUCAAAGCCAUGCUAAGACAAUGGUUCUCAACCUCAACUGCAUUUUAGGAUUGCCUAGGGAGAUUUUAAUUCCCAAUGUCCAGACUAUAAUUCAGAUGAAUUACAUCAGGAUUUCUGGGGGUGAAACCUGGAUUUUCAGUGGUGUCUAAAUCUCACCGGUGAUCCCCAUGUGCAGCCAGGGAUGAGAGUGUCUGUGCUAGGAGCGGAUAGGGAGAAGCUAUGGUGAGACAGAACAGACAUUUGAGGGGUGUGAAGAAGAAAACCUGGAAUCCGACUUAGCUUUUGGAUAAAGUGAGGUGGCAGUGAAUGUGCAGAAAUUGAAAGUUGGAGGGAGGGCUGUUCCCACGUCCUUUACUUUUGCUAUCACAGUUCUGUAUUUCUUUCCUUAAAAUCAAUAUAUAAAAAGAUUCAAUUUCUUGAGCUUCCUUGACCCUGGAAUUUCUUUGUGAAUUACAUAUAGUACUGUACAUAAGGAACUAUUGAAUUACAAACCUUCCCACAUGAAUCUUAUGGUAUUAAAAUAAAUAAAUAUUCAAAAAUACACAGAAAUCAUUACCACAUCACUAUUCUGUUUCCAAAAACAGCUGAGGGCCAGUUUUAGCCCAUCAGGUGCCGUCUGCUAUAUAAAUUGUACUACUAGUGGUUUUCACAGUCCAGCUUAUAACAAUAGCACAAUAAAUCCUAGUGGUCACUUUCUCAGAAUGCAAGAUAUUGUCAUUUAAAACAUACUACUCUGUAGUCACCUGUGGCUACAGAGUAGAGCCAGAUGGUCUGAAAAGACAUUAGUAAAAUAUUCUGAGCCACAGAGAUGAAGCUGAACUUGGGUCACCCUCAGUCUCCUAGGCUCCUGCCUCCCUAACAAAAUGUCCUUGAAGAAUGGGACAGUUUAACUGCGUUUCAAUCAUAGUUGUUGGUCCUACAAAUCAACAUUUGUAUAACUAAGCAUGGAUAUUUAUCACUGUGUUUCUCUACUUAGUUUCCUUAUUUUAACUUCCAGUUCUGGGUUCAUUAUUAGAAAUGGAUUGGAGAAAAUACUUUUAUUAGAUGGUACAAGAGCAGUAUUUCAUAUCAAUGGUUAAUUUUGUUAUUGUUUCUAUUUCUUUCUUUCUUUCUUUCUUUCUUUCUUUUUGAGACCGAGUCUCAUUCUGUUGCCCAGGCUGGAGUGCAGUGGCGCAAUCUUGGCUCACUGCAACCUCCGCCUCCCAGGUUCAAGUGAUUCUCCUGCCUCAGCCUCCUGAGUAGCUGAGACUACAGGCACGUGACACCAUGCCCGGUUAAUUUUUGUAUUUUUAGUAGAGACGGGGUUUCACCAUGUUGGCCAGGCUGGGAUUGUUUCUAUUUCUAAAGGACUUUUCUAUACGGAAUCUGUUGAGGGACCUAUUUAAGUUAGAGUAAUUUUUCUACAUUCAUUUUCCUCACGUACAGUGUGAUGAAUAGUCUUUGGUGUUCGUUGUGUCCUCUUUUUAUGAUAAGUGGCCUAAAAUGCGGUCUGAUAUUAGUACUCUAGGAAGGAAUAGGAGAAGAAUAGUGUUAUUAUUUGGCCUGUGAAUUGUGAUGAGACUUACUCCUUUGUAUUGAAAGACUCAGUGGGAUUAUAACAACUACUCAGCUUUAGAAACCAGCCUCGUCAGAGAAGUGAGUGCAAUCUGGGCCUCUUACUAUUAUGAAGUGUGAAGGGAGAAUAAAUCUCAGGACCCCCAAAUCAUUAAGCCAAAGGGAAGUGAAGCUGGGAAGUGCAUCAGACAAACCUGCCUCCCAUUUUAUUCCUAAAGAAGAUAGCUACAAAGAUUAAAAAAAAAAAA
rnacentral:sRNA from 1 species